AGGAGGGGGGGUGGGAGGACCCUGUGAGCCCAGCCAGCCAGCCGCACUGCGAGCUGGAACAACACUAAACACAGAAUAUUCAUCUAUGACUUCGACUUCAUGUCUCAUCCUCACAAACUGACUUUAUUCUGCAGUCUGGAAAACACGUGAAUUCGGGACUGACACGUCCAGCACCCACUUCUCUUCUUAUAGUUUGUAAACGAGUUACUGAACCAACUUUCUACUCUGAAGUGAGCUGUUCUCAGUGAGUCCAGUCAUCGAUCAUCUGCCCCGAUGCCAGAAACGGUGUCAUAAUACGAUAAUGCGGCUUCACACAUUCAGCGGUGAUUCCUGUGGUAAAACCCGAGCGUUAGGAUCCGAUGGGACAGUUUUACAGGCAUGAAAUGACUAUCAAAGGCUCCCGCAGUCUGGCCGCUGAGGCUUCGAGGCACGGACACAGGGAAGCCAGAAGGCACGGACUUUUACGCACAGAACACGGGAUCAAAUAAUAAACUGUGCUGACUUGUUUUCGUCCACUUUGCUGAUUUAUUUAUUUAAUGCGUCUCUCUCAACCAGCCCUUCCAGCAGCAUUUGUCACCGGCACUAUUAUUUCAGGUGUGCUAAUGGUGUCGCAGACACUUUUGCAGAGAGAGGAAGAGACAUGAUGAAGUGAAAAAGGAGGACAGGAGAAACUGAAGAACAGGAGGAAAAGAGUAUCAUCGGCAUCAUCAUCAUCACUUGAACUCCCCACUCCCUGUAACCCAAAAAAAAAAAAAAAAAAUCCAGGGAUGAAUGAUCUGAAAGGUGAUCCAUUCAGGGUUGGAGGGGUAAGGGUGGCUGCGGGUGGAUGGGUGAGGAUGAGCGGGGGCUUUUCUCACACCUCCCAGGGAGACUGUGAAUUGAUCAGCACCUAAGAGAGGGAGAAAGAGAGGGAGGGAGGGAAAGUGAGAAGAAAGGAGAGCGGCAAAGCAGAGAAAUGAAGGAUGACGAUGAGAAGAGGGCGAGUGGAAAAAGCUGGGUGUUGGAGCUAAGCUAUAAAACCAGGAGGGGGGAAACAGAGUGAUAGGAAGGGAGGAGUGAGGCAAGGCUGCAGAAGAGGUGUGAAGACUCAUCUUUUUCUGGAUGGGUGUGAGUUUAGGCCGGAGCAGAGAGAGGCCUGGGAGCACAGCAUAGCCUAGUGGUAAUAAACCAGGAAACCCCAGUAGAGAAACAGACAACAUCAGCUAUAAGGAAGCUAUAAAGUGUUUUUAAAAUCAAAAUAUAGUAUUCAGUCUGAGCUUGAUAUCUUUAAAGUUGAUUGCUAGCUAGUUUACUCUUAUAUGGAAAUCGGUUAAAAGGGACCGUUUCAGAAAUUUUAGAAGUCAUGUUUGUUUUUGUACAUUUUAUGAGAUAUUUAAUUCAUAUAAUACACAUAUCAAGGGAAAUUCCAGUCCCCUUGACAUAUUUUGUUUUAAAUUGUAUAAAACAGUAUUGUGUCCAUAGCAUAAAAUGCAGCAUACGGUAAAGGAAACAGUUGGGUAAUCAAUUUAAUCUAAAUAGGUUUCAGUAUUGAACAGCAUUACAGCAAAUAUACAGAUGUUUUUCUCAGGCUUUGCAGCCAAAUUGUACUUUUU